UACGUAGGUGACCAGCGUUGUCCGGAUUUACUGGGCGUAAAGGGCUCGUAGGCGGCCAACUAAGUCAGACGUGAAAUCCCUCGGCUUAACCGGGGAACUGCGUCUGAUACUGGUUGGCUUGAAUCCGGGAGAGGGAUGUGGAAUUCCAGGUGUAGCGGUGAAAUGCGUAGAUAUCUGGAGGAAUACCGGUGGCGAAGGCGGCAUCCUGGACCGGCAUUGACGCUGAGGAGCGAAAGCUAGGGGAGCAAACGGG
rnacentral:rRNA from 1 species